rnacentral:sRNA from 1 species
GCCGUAUUGGUUCGAUCGGGAUACUCAUCAAAUAAAUCUUGAAAACCGGGAUGUCUUCUCCUGUCAAUGGCGGGCCGCUAACCAAGCAUCUUGAUGCCGGCGGAUUACAAAGGCGGAGAGUUCCCACAACCUGUGAUAAAGGAGUUUUCAUCACAUCACCCUUACGGCCC